GGAAUCUUCGGCAAUGGGGGCAACCCUGACCGAGCAACGCCGCGUGAGUGAAGAAGGUUUUCGGAUCGUAAAGCUCUGUUGUAAGAGAAGAACGUGUGUGAGAGUGGAAAGUUCACACAGUGACGGUAACUUACCAGAAAGGGACGGCUAACUACGUGACAG
rnacentral:rRNA from 1 species